UUUUUUUUUUUUCACCAUACAGCCAAAAAAAAACAAACCCUGAGAUUUUACUGUGUGGUAGAUUUUACAUUGGACAAUUUUUUAAAUAUAUUGCAUUUCGAAUGGCUAAUAACUGCUUUGUUGUGAUUGGUUCAUCUCUUGUGGCCAUAAGAUUAUUAUAAUUAUAGUAUGAAAGCAUACAAUUUGCCAAUUAGGUCAAUGAUUACUUUACUGCCUCCUACUUCAAUCCUUCAGCCUUACUUUUUUUUUCGCUGAAGAGUGAAAGCUGUAUAAUGCACAAGGGACCUUGGUC